rnacentral:rRNA from 1 species
ACGAACGCUGGCGGCGUGCUUAACACAUGCAAGUCGAACGGAAAGGCCCUGCUUUUGUGGGGUGCUCGAGUGGCGAACGGGUGAGUAACACGUGAGUAACCUGCCCUUGACUUUGGGAUAACUUCAGGAAACUGGGGCUAAUACCGGAUAGGAGCUCCUGCUGCAUGGUGGGGAUUGGAAAGUUUCGGCGGUUGGGGAUGGACUCGCGGCUUAUCAGCUUGUUGGUGGGGUAGUGGCUUACCAAGGCUUUGACGGGUAGCCGGCCUGAGAGGGUGACCGGCCACAUUGGGACUGAGAUACGGCCCAGACUCCUACGGGAGGCAGCAGUGGGGAAUAUUGCACAAUGGGCGGAAGCCUGAUGCAGCAACGCCGCGUGCGGGAUGAAGGCCUUCGGGUUGUAAACCGCUUUCGCCUGUGACGAAGCGUGAGUGACGGUAAUGGGUAAAGAAGCACCGGCUAACUACGUG